rnacentral:misc_RNA from 1 species
CUGUUCGAGCGUCAUUAUGACCAAUCAAGCUCUGCUUGGCCUUGGGGCCCGCUAUACAGCGGCUCUUAAAAUUAGUGGCGGUGCUGUCUGGCUCUAAGCGUAGUAAUACUUCUCGUUAUAGGGUCCAACGGUCCAUCUGCCAGAAAUCCCAACUUUCUUAGGUUGACCUCGGAUCAGGUAGGGAUACCCGCUGAACUUAA